rnacentral:misc_RNA from 1 species
UACGGAGGGGGCUAGCGUUAUUCGGAACUAUUGGGCGUAAAGGGCGCGUAGGCGGCCGGGUAAGUCAAAGGUGAAAUCCCUCGGCUCAACCGAGGAACUGCCUUUGAAACUACCUGGCUCGAGGCCGGGAGGGGGUAGCGGAAUUCCCAGUGUAGCGGUGAAAUGCGUAGAUAUUGGGAGGAACACCGGGGGCGAAGGCGGCUACCUGGACCGGUUCUGACGCUGAUGCGCGAAAGCGUGGGGAGAGAACGGG